UGACUCAGCUUGCGAGUGUUCUCUCUC
rnacentral:piRNA from 1 species